rnacentral:rRNA from 2 species
GGAGGAUCCAAGCGUUAUCCGGAAUCAUUGGGUUUAAAGGGUCCGUAGGCGGGUUUAUAAGUCAGUGGUGAAAGCCCAUCGCUCAACGAUGGAACGGCCAUUGAUACUGUAGAUCUUGAAUUAUUAGGAAGUAACUAGAAUAUGUAGUGUAGCGGUGAAAUGCUUAGAGAUUACAUGGAAUACCAAUUGCGAAGGCAGGUUACUACUAAUGGAUUGACGCUGAUGGACGAAAGCGUGGGUAGCGAACAGGAUUAGAUACCCUGGUAGUCCACGCCGUAAACGAUGGAUACUAGCUGUUCGGAGCAAUCUGAGUGGCUAAGCGAAAGUGAUAAGUAUCCCACCUGGGGAGUACGUUCGCAAGAAUG